UACUGAAGGUGCAAGCGUUAAUCGGAAUUACUGGGCGUAAAGCGCGCGUAGGCGGCUUGUUAAGUCGGAUGUGAAAGCCCCGGGCUCAACCUGGGAAUUGCACCCGAUACUGACAGGCUAGAGUACGGGAGAGGGUUGUGGAAUUCCAUGUGUAGCGGUGAAAUGCGUAGAUAUGUGGAGGAACAUCAGUGGCGAAGGCGGCAGCCUGGCCCGAUACUGACGCUGAGGUGCGAAAGCGUGGGGAGCAAACAGG
rnacentral:rRNA from 1 species